rnacentral:rRNA from 1 species
UACGGAGGGUGCAAGCGUUAUCCGGAUUUACUGGGUUUAAAGGGUGUGUAGGCGGACUUUUAAGUCAGCGGUGAAAUCUCCGGGCUCAACCCGGAAACUGCCAUUGAUACUAUUGGUCUUGAAUAUUGUUGAGGUGGGCGGAACGGGUCAUGUAGCGGUGAAAUGCAUAGAUAUGACCCGGAACACCGAUUGCGAAGGCAGCCCACUAAGCAAUGAUUGACGCUGAGGCACGAAAGCGUGGGGAUCAAACCAGGAGU